GGCUACCCACUUUGGGUCCCCUCCCGUUGUAUGGGAACUCUGUUUUCACUCUAUUAAAACUUGAAACUGCACACUCUUCUGGUCCGUGUCUGUUACGGCUGGAGCUGAGCUUUCGCUCGCCGUCCACCACUGCUGUUUGCCGCCGUCGCAGACCCGCCGCUGACUUCCACCCUCCGGAUCCGGCAGGGUGUCCGCUGUGCGCGUGAUCCAGGGAGACACCCAUUGCCGCUCCCAAUCCGGCUAGAGGCUCGCCAUUGUUCCUGCACAGCUAACUGCCUGGGUUCUUCCUGAUCGAGCUGAACACUGGUCGCUGGGUUCCACGGUUCUCUUCCGUGACCCACGGCUUCUAAUAGAGCUAAAACACUCACCGCAGGGCCCAGGAUUCCAUUCCUUGGAAUCCGUGAGGCCAAGAACCCCAGGUCAGAGAACACGAGGCUUGCCGCCAUCUUGGAAGUGGCCACCACGAUCUUGGGAGCUCCGGGAGCAAGGACCCGCCCUAACAACAGCACAGUGCCCGGCACGUAGACAUCAAACUUCCUGGUCCUCAUGCCUUUAGCCUCAGACCGAAUGACACCACCAGCUUUCCUGCUUCUUCAGCUUAUGGACAGCAUGUCAUGGGACUCCUCAGCCUCCAGAAUUGUAAAACUUUCAUGGCAAGGAACUGAGGGGUGGCUUCUGGCCAAGAGUCAGCAAAGAACUGAACUGCCAGCAACACCAUGAAAUCAACAGAACCUUGAGAUGGCCACAAAGCUGCUGGCCCCUUGAUUGCAGCCCGGGAGAGACCCUGAAGCUGAAGACCCGGCCGGGCUGUGCUCAGAUCCCUGAUUCACGGAAAUCGCAGGAUAAUAAACGUGUGUUGUUUGAAGCUGCUCCCUUUGAGGUGAUUUGUUACACAGCAAUAGCUAACUGAUACAUAUAGAAAUAAAGAGAGGCCGGGCGCGGUGGCUCACGCCUGUAAUCUCAGCACUUUGGGAGGCCGAGGCGGGUGGAUCAGGAGGUCAGGAGAUUGAGACCACAGUGAAACCCUAUCUCUACUAAAAAUACAAAAAAUUAGCCAGGCAUGGUGGCGGGCACCUGUAGUCCCAGCUACUCGGGAGGCUGAGGCAGGAGAAUGGCGUGAACCCGGGAGGCGGAGCUUGCAGUGAGCUGAGAUUGAGCCACUGCACUCCAGCCUGGGUGACAGAGCAAGACUCCGUCUCAAAAAAAAAAAAAGAAAAAAAAAGAAAUAGAAAAUAAAAUCUUGGCCGGACGCGGUGGCUCACGCCUGUAAUCCCAGCACUUUGGGAGGCCGAAGCGGGUGGAUCACAAGGUCGGGAGAUCGAGACCAUCCUAGCUAACAUGGUGAAACCCCGCCUCUACUAAAAAUACAAAAAAUUAGCCAGGCGUGGUGGCGGGUGCCUGUAGUCCCAGCUACUCGGGAGGCUGAGGCAGGAGAAUGGCGUGAACCUGGGAGGUGGAGCUUGCAGUGAGCUGAGAUCGAGCCACUGCACUCCAGCCUGGGUGACAGGGCGAGACUCCGUCUCAAAAAAAAAAAAAAGAAAUAGAAAAUAAAAUCUUGGGUCUUUCUUUUGAUAUCUUGAUCAAGAAAGUUUGAUCACUUUACCAAACAUGUAUUAUGUAUUUUUCAUAAAUAAAAGAGAAUUUA